rnacentral:rRNA from 1 species
AGAGUUUGAUCAUGGCUCAGAUUGAACGCUGGCGGCAGGCCUAACACAUGCAAGUCGAACGGUAGCACAGAGAGCUUGCUCUCGGGUGACGAGUGGCGGACGGGUGAGUAAUGUCUGGGAAACUGCCUGAUGGAGGGGGAUAACUACUGGAAACGGUAGCUAAUACCGCAUAACGUCGCAAGACCAAAGAGGGGGACCUUCGGGCCUCUUGCCAUCAGAUGUGCCCAGAUGGGAUUAGCUAGUAGGUGGGGUAACGGCUCACCUAGGCGACGAUCCCUAGCUGGUCUGAGAGGAUGACCAGCCACACUGGAACUGAGACACGGUCCAGACUCCUACGGGAGGCAGCAGUGGGGAAUAUUGCACAAUGGGCGCAAGCCUGAUGCAGCCAUGCCGCGUGUAUGAAGAAGGCCUUCGGGUUGUAAAGUACUUUCAGCGGGGAGGAAGGUGUUGCGGUUAAUAACCGCAGCAAUUGACGUUACCCGCAGAAGAAGCACCGGCUAACUCCGUGCCAGCAGCCGCGGUAAUACGGAGGGUGCAAGCGUUAAUCGGAAUUACUGGGCGUAAAGCGCACGCAGGCGGUCUGUCAAGUCGGAUGUGAAAUCCCCGGGCUCAACCUGGGAACUGCAUUCGAAACUGGCAGGCUAGAGUCUUGUAGAGGGGGGUAGAAUUCCAGGUGUAGCGGUGAAAUGCGUAGAGAUCUGGAGGAAUACCGGUGGCGAAGGCGGCCCCCUGGACAAAGACUGACGCUCAGGUGCGAAAGCGUGGGGAGCAAACAGGAUUAGAUACCCUGGUAGUCCACGCCGUAAACGAUGUCGAUUUGGAGGUUGUGCCCUUGAGGCGUGGCUUCCGGAGCUAACGCGUUAAAUCGACCGCCUGGGGAGUACGGCCGCAAGGUUAAAACUCAAAUGAAUUGACGGGGGCCCGCACAAGCGGUGGAGCAUGUGGUUUAAUUCGAUGCAACGCGAAGAACCUUACCUGGUCUUGACAUCCACAGAACUUUCCAGAGAUGGAUUGGUGCCUUCGGGAACUGUGAGACAGGUGCUGCAUGGCUGUCGUCAGCUCGUGUUGUGAAAUGUUGGGUUAAGUCCCGCAACGAGCGCAACCCUUAUCCUUUGUUGCCAGCGGUUAGGCCGGGAACUCAAAGGAGACUGCCAGUGAUAAACUGGAGGAAGGUGGGGAUGACGUCAAGUCAUCAUGGCCCUUACGACCAGGGCUACACACGUGCUACAAUGGCGCAUACAAAGAGAAGCGACCUCGCGAGAGCAAGCGGACCUCAUAAAGUGCGUCGUAGUCCGGAUUGGAGUCUGCAACUCGACUCCAUGAAGUCGGAAUCGCUAGUAAUCGUAGAUCAGAAUGCUACGGUGAAUACGUUCCCGGGCCUUGUACACACCGCCCGUCACACCAUGGGAGUGGGUUGCAAAAGAAGUAGGUAGCUUAACCUUCGGGAGGGCGCUUACCACUUUGUGAUUCAUGACUGGGGUGAAGUCGUAACAAGGUAACCGUAGGGGAACCUGCGGUUG